rnacentral:rRNA from 1 species
AUUGAACGCUGGCGGCAGGCCUAACACAUGCAAGUCGAACGAGUGGCGGACGGGUGAGUAAUGUCUGGGAAACUGCCUGAUGGAGGGGGAUAACUACUGGAAACGGUAGCUAAUACCGCAUACCAUCGGAUGUGCCCAGAUGGGAUUAGCUAGUAGGUGGGGUAAAGGCUCACCUAGGCGACGAUCCCUAGCUGGUCUGAGAGGAUGACCAUCCACACUGGAACUGAGACACGGUCCAGACUCCUACCAAGUUCAACAGGUAAUAAUAUUGCACAAUGGGCGCAAGCCUGAUCCAGCCAUGCCGCGUGUAUGAAGAAGGCCUUCGGGUUGUAAAGUACUUGCAGCGGGGAGGCGUUACCCGCAGAAGAAGCACCGGCUAACUCCGUGCCAGCAGCCGCGGUAAUAC